rnacentral:misc_RNA from 1 species
GAACGCACCUUGCGCCCUUUGGUAUUCCGAAGGGCAUGCCUGUUUGAGUAUCAUUAAUAUCUCACUCUUGAUUUCCUUUGUGGGAUCCAGACGUGGACUUUGGAGGCUUGUGCUGGCCAUCACUGGUCGGCUCCUCUUAAAUGCAUUAGCGGAACUCUAUGCGGUCCCAGCCUCGGUUUGAUAAUCCUAUCUAUGCUGUCGCUGUUGGACUGUGCUGUUUGGCUUACAGUUGUCUUCGGACUGUCACAAUUGUGGCAUAACUUUUAAACUUGAUCUCAAAUCAGGUAGGACUACCCGCUGAACUUAAG